UCCAGAGUUGCUAAUGGUUAUCUUCCAUGGUCAAGUUUUCCAGAAUGAGCCAGCAGUGGAAUGGCAUGCCCUGAGACCAGCAGACCCACUGGUCACAGGACAGGUGUUGAAGGCACCUAAGCAGCAGGUCCACUGAGAAGUCAAGUAAAGAUUGGACACAUCUGGGACCUCCAUGGGGAACCAGUGGGAGCUACAGAGAUCCAGAAGCAGAGGUGUUUGCACAUCCCCGCUCUCCAGAAAUACAGUGAGGGCAGAGUGGCGCUGGGCCUCUUGUGGAAGACUCAAGCCCUGGACAGAAAGCCUCUCCAGUCCUAGGGCAGCCGUUUAUUUUAAACCGAAUUUCACUCUCAAACCCUGGCUAACCUUUUGCAGCAUACCCAAAUGACACAGAAUCCAACCUACCAGGAAAAUAUCCCUGAACACUGGAAAUAUUCAGUAAAAGGGAUUUCAUCUUGCAAACCCAGAAAAACAUAAUAAAACUUUCAUUGUCGGGGACACAAAAUGAUAACUUCUGGAUUAAUGAACACUCCGGACAAAGAACAAUGAAAAGUCUGCCUUUCAAGGUUCCUGGUGAUAACUGUAGCUGUGAUAUCUCAAGAAUGAAAGGAUCACAAGGAUAUCACAACAAACCAGAGCCGUCCUGUCCACUGCUACCUCAUCCUCCCACAUGAUGCUAGUGAGCCCUCGAAAUCGGACUGAUCCAGAUGGAGCUGUGCUGUAAGUGUAAAAUGCACACUGGACUGCAAAGACUUAGUUUAAAAAGAAAAAAAAAUGUCAUCAAUAUAGAAAAAAAUGUUCACAACAAUUACCUACCGAGAUAAUAUUUUUGCAUAAACUGAGUGGAAACACGUGUUAUUUUCACAUGUAUCUGUUUACUUUUUACUCUGGAUACUAGAAAAUAAUUGGGCAGAACUCAAGUCAUUUUGAAAAAUAAUUGUUUGAAGUAUUGCAUGCUAGAAAGAAAAGAACAUUCAGCAACAUGCACUGGUAUGUUAAUACAAUUUUCUGAUAGAAAAAUGCGAUAUAACAAGCCACUCAAUAUAUCCCUCCCCAAAAUACACAGUUAGGAAAACAAGAGCAUCUCUCUGGAUGAACUGAAUCUUCUGUGCCACUCUAAUCUAAUAGUAAGUAGCAUCAGUUUCUUUCCGCCUCCAUUUUUCUCUGAUUGGCAGAACACUUGGCCUAAAAUUCAAUUACCUCAACUGUAGGCUUCUUAGGGAGGGCCUUGGUUUUCUGGUUCGGUUUUACCCCAGUCCCUAUUUAUUACUCACCUUGGUUCUGCCCCUUACUUUAACAGUCUUAUUGUAAGUUAGCAAAAAAGCUAUUUGGAACUAAAAGCUAAAUAGCAAAUAAGAAAGUGAACGAACUCCUUACUAUGGUGUGACCAAUGAGACACCACUGUCCAGUGUGGGGAGACUCAUUACAUUGGUGACCCUUCUCCCUGUGACAGGCAUGAAGCACAAUGCACACUUAGUAAUACUGGGCCAGUAUUCACAUUUAAGAUCAUAAAAACAGAGCUGACCCCAUCAAUGGCUAUCACCCAAGGCUCAGUGAGAUAGACAGGCACAAUAUUCAAAGGGCACAGUGAGUCCUGAAGUCAUAUACACAGCUAUAGGUAAUACGGUAUCAUCUUAGACAGAAAGAAGCGACUAUCUGGAUACCUAGAAGUCAGGCAGUGGUGGUCAUUACCAGAGCUGACCAUAUACUGUGAGACACCACAGCACAGAGUGAGGACAUAGAGACAGCACUCAAGGAUCCAAGGAGACAGCAGAGACCUAGUCCCAUGAAGAGACAAAAGGGUAACAUUUCUGUGACUAUGGGCCACCCAGGUCCCUGGACGAGGCCCAGAGUCAUGGCCUCUCAGAUCUAGGGGACCACACAGAUUCAAGGUGAGAAUGAGCAGCAAUAUGGAGCCCAGCAGUUGUAGCUGGGCUACCAGAUGUGCCCACUGAGGAAGAAAAAGUCAAAGGCUCUACAUAUGCUUCCUAUUGUUGUUGGAUUUGGUCCAGGGACUGAUGGGCUUGGCUGCAGGUGGGAGCACCAGUCCAUUCAGCGAAACUUUGUUCAAAUGCAGGGCAAGAAAGGGAGAUGGCAGAGGUGCCUCUCUUAUAAAGUGGAGGAAUAAUACUGGUUCCUAUGCAACUCUUAUUCCAAAAUUAAUGUUUCAAGGAUAUUUAAGCUACCUAGGAAAAAAACGCUUCCCAAAUAGCCUGCCAAAUUUAUGAAAAAUCCACUGCUUCCUGUUAAUCCCUAUUCCUUUCCAAGAAAUGCUUGUAAUACUAUUUAAUAGUGUUAUAGAUUUAGACUAACACGGUAUAAUCUUAAGCCUGUAGGAAAAGUACAGAAUAUGUGGAAUGUUAUAUAACCUUAAGAGUCCUUAUAAUAAAUUCAUUUUAAAUAAGUGAAUAAAAAUAAGAAAUAAGUAAUAACUUUCCCAGAUAUACAAAGAUAAGACAGGAUACAGAAAAGAUCAUGGUCAUACAACAGUCAGGACCACACAGUCACAAAUUAUUAGAAGACAAGAAAGAAAUAUUCUAAAUCAACUAUACUACUGAUAUAGACUUGUAUGUUUUCUUAAAACUGUUAAACGACUUAAAACACACACAAAAAAGGUUUAUAUUUCAGAAAAUCAAAAUUAACAAAAUGUUAAAACACACAAUUAACAACAACAACAACAACAACAACAACAAAACAAAAACAAAAGCAAUGCGGAAAAGUCUUAGGAUCUGAUUAAUAAUAAAUGACCUGUUCAAUCUAAAAUGUAUUAUUUCGGGGCGCCUGGGUGGCUCAGUCGGUUAAGCGGCCGACUUCAGCUGAGGUC